GAUGAACGCUGGCGGCGUGCCUAAUACAUGCAAGUCGAGCGAACGGACGAGAAGCUUGCUUUUCUGAUGUUAGCGGCGGACGGGUGAGUAACACGUGGAUAACCUACCUAUAAGACUGGGAUAACUUCGGGAAACCGGAGCUAAUACCGGAUAAUAUUUUGAACCGCAUGGUUCAAAAGUGAAAGACGGUCUUGCUGUCAUUUAUAGAUGGAUCCGCGCUGCAUUAGCUAGUUGGUAAGGUAACGGCUUACCAAGGCAACGAUCCAUAGCCGACCUGAGAGGGUGAUCGGCCACACUGGAACUGAGACACGGUCCAGACUCCUACGGGAGGCAGCAGUAGGGAAUCUUCCGCAAUGGGCGAAAGCCUGACGGAGCAACGCCGCGUGAGUGAUGAAGGUCUUCGGAUCGUAAAACUCUGUUAUUAGGGAAGAACAUAUGUGUAAGUAACUGUGCACAUCUUGACGGUACCUAAUCAGAAAGCCACGGCUAACUACGUG
rnacentral:rRNA from 1 species